rnacentral:rRNA from 1 species
UACGAAGGGGGCUAGCGUUGCUCGGAAUGACUGGGCGUAAAGGGCGCGUAGGCGGUUCAUACAGUCAGAUGUGAAAUUCCCGGGCUUAACCUGGGAACUGCGUCGGAUACUGGAUGGCUUGAAUUCGGGAGAGGGAUGCAGAAUUCCAGGUGUAGCGGUGAAAUGCGUAGAUAUCUGGAGGAAUACCGGUGGCGAAGGCGGCAUCCUGGACCGACAUUGACGCUGAACGGCGAAAGCUAGGGGAGCAAACGGG